GGGGCUGAUUCUGGAUUCGACGGGAUUUGCGAAACCCAAGGUGCAUGCCGAGGGGCGGUUGGCCUCGUAAAAAGCCGCAAAAAAUAGUCGCAAACGACGAAAACUACGCUUUAGCAGCUUAAUAACCUGCUUAGAGCCCUCUCUCCCUAGCCUCCGCUCUUAGGACGGGGAUCAAGAGAGGUCAACCCCAAAAGAGAUCGCGUGGAAGCCCUGCCUGGGGUUGAAGCGUUAAAACUUAAUCAGGCUAGUUUGUUAGUGGCGUGUCCGUCCGCAGCUGGCAAGCGAAUGUAAAGACUGACUAAGCAUGUAGUACCGAGGAUGUAGGAAUUUCGGACGCGGGUUCAACUCCCGCCAGCUCCACCA
rnacentral:tmRNA from 3 species